GUGGGGAAUCUUGCGCAAUGGGCGAAAGCCUGACGCAGCCAUGCCGCGUGAAUGAUGAAGGUCUUAGGAUUGUAAAAUUCUUUCACCGGGGACGAUAAUGACGGUACCCGGAGAAGAAGCCCCGGCUAACUUCGUGCCAGCAGCCGCGGUAAUACGAAGGGGGCUAGCGUUGCUCGGAAUUACUGGGCGUAAAGGGCGCGUAGGCGGACAGUUUAGUCAGAGGUGAAAGCCCAGGGCUCAACCUUGGAAUUGCCUUUGAUACUGGCUGUCUUGAGUACGGGAGAGGUGAGUGGAACUCCGAGUGUAGAGGUGAAAUUCGUAGAUAUUCGGAAGAACACCAGUGGCGAAGGCGACUCACUGGCCCGUUACUGACGCUGAGGCGCGAAAGCGUGGGGAGCAAACAGGAUUAGAUACCCGGGUAGUCC
rnacentral:rRNA from 1 species